rnacentral:rRNA from 1 species
AGUGAACGCUGGCGGUAGGCCUAACACAUGCAAGUCGAACGGCAGCACAGUAAGAGCUUGCUCUUACGGGUGGCGAGUGGCGGACGGGUGAGGAAUACAUCGGAAUCUACUUUUUCGUGGGGGAUAACGUAGGGAAACUUACGCUAAUAACGCAUACGACCUACGGGUGAAAGCAGGGGAUCUUCGGACCUUGCGCGAUUGAAUGAGCCGAUGUCGGAUUAGCUAGUUGGCGGGGUAAAGGCCCACCAAGGCGACGAUCCGUAGCUGGUCUGAGAGGAUGGUCAGCCACACUGGAACUGAGACACGGUCCAGACUCCUACGGGAGGCAGCAGUGGGGAAUAUUGGACGAUGGGCGCAAGCCUGAUCCAGCCAUACCGCGUGGGUGAUGAAGGCCUUCGGGUUGUAAAGCCCUUUUGUUGGGAAAGAAAAGCAGCAGGUUAAUACCCCGCUGUUCUGACGGUACCCAAAGAAUAAGCACCGGCUAACUUCGUG